AUUGCUUCUUGGCUUUUUGGUCAAGAUUAUGUGCGUAGUAUCUGUUCUUAUCAUUUCAGUAUCUGAUAUGUCCUCUAUGCAAGGACAAUAUUGUAAAUAGAUUUUUGGAUCAGGGAGAUGGAAAAGGAAAUUGCUGUGUCCACUCCAUGCAUCAAUCUGGUAUUGAAGUACUUCCAAGAAUGGUGCACCGCUU
rnacentral:snRNA from 1 species